GUCGAUCUUUGCCAUCCAUGAUUCAAGCAUCAAACUUUCAUUGAAGCUCUGCCGGACGUUUUAGGAACCGGCACGUUGAAGCUCCGGUCGGCAACUUUAAGCUUAGCAAGGAACCUCAAUUGAAGGAAGACGAAUUUCACAAACUGGCUGAUUCCACGAUCCAUGACCUUCAGGAGAAAUUUGAGUUUAAAAGUUGUUGGUGACUUAAUGGAUUUCCCCUUUUAGAAUGAGGUUUUGACUCUGAAGCUCGGCG
rnacentral:misc_RNA from 1 species